rnacentral:rRNA from 1 species
GGGGAAUAUUGGACAAUGGGCGCAAGCCUGAUCCAGCCAUGCCGCGUGAGUGAUGAAGGCCCUAGGGUUGUAAAGCUCUUUCACCGGUGAAGAUAAUGACGGUAACCGGAGAAGAAGCCCCGGCUAACUUCGUGCCAGCAGCCGCGGUAAUACGAAGGGGGCUAGCGUUGUUCGGAAUUACUGGGCGUAAAGCGCACGUAGGCGGAUCGAUCAGUUAGGGGUGAAAUCCCGGGGCUCAACCCCGGAACUGCCUCUAAUACUGUCGAUCUGGAGUUCGAGAGAGGUGAGUGGAAUUCCGAGUGUAGAGGUGAAAUUCGUAGAUAUUCGGAGGAACACCAGUGGCGAAGGCGGCUCACUGGCUCGAUACUGACGCUGAGGUGCGAAAGCGUGGGGAGCAAACA